CGUCAUGGUGGAGCGGGAGCGAAAGCGGCAGGAGGAGGAGGAGGUGGACAAGAUGAUGGAGCAGAAGGUGCGGGAGGAGCAGGAGCGGCGCCGCAGGAAGGAGCUGGAGGAGAGGAUGUCCCUGGAGGAGACCCGAGAGCAGCUGCUGAAGCUGCAGGAGAAGUUGGGGGCUCUGCAGGAG